rnacentral:rRNA from 1 species
UACGGGGGGGCAAGCGUUGUUCGGAAUUACUGGGCGUAAAGGGCUCGUAGGCGGCCAACUAAGUCGGAUGUGAAAUCCCCAGGCUUAACCUGGGAACUGCAUCCGAUACUGGAUGGCUUGAAUCCGGGAGAGGGAUGCGGAAUUCCAGGUGUAGCGGUGAAAUGCGUAGAUAUCUGGAGGAACACCGGUGGCGAAGGCGGCAUCCUGGACCGGCAUUGACGCUGAGGUGCGAAAGCGUGGGGAGCAAACAGG